AAUACAUGCAAGUCGAGCGAGAAGACGUAGCAAUACGUUUGUAAAGCGGCGAACGGGUGAGGAAUACAUGGGUAACCUACCCUCGAGUGGGGAAUAACUAGCCGAAAGGUUAGCUAAUACCGCAUACGACUCCUGGUCUGCGGAUCGGGAGGGAAAGCGAUACCGUGGGUAUCGCGCUCUUGGAUGGGCUCAUGUCCUAUCAGCUUGUUGGUGAGGUAAUGGCUCACCAAGGCUAUGACGGGUAUCUGGACUGAGAGGUCGAACAGACACAGGGGCACUGAGACACGGGCUCCACAUCUACGGAUGGCAGCAACCAGGAAUAUUGGGCAAUGGGGGAAACCCUGACCCAGCGACGCCGCGUGGAGGAUGAAGGCUUUAGGGUCGUAAACUCCUUUUAAUAUGCCCUUCACGGCAUAUAGAAUAAGCACCUACUAACUACGUGCCAGAAGUCUCGGUAAUACGUAGGGUGCAAGCGUUAUCCGGAUUUACUGGGCGUAAAGAGUGUGUAGGCGGUCUACCAAGUCGUAGCUUAAAUCCCGGGGCUCAACCCCGGUCUUGGUUACGAUACUGGCUGACUUGAAGAUUAUUCGGGGUACUGGAACAGUUGGUGUAGUGGUGAAAUACGUUGAUAUCAACUGGAACACCGAAGGCGAAGGCAAGUACCUGGGAUUUUCCUGACGCUGAGACACGAAAGCUAGGGUAGCGAAACAGAUUAGAGACCUGUGUAGUCCUAGCCGUAAACGAUGGAUGCUAGCUAGUGUGCAAGCACUGGCGUAAGCUAACGCGUUAAGCAUCCCGCCUGGGGAGUACGACCGCAAGGUUAAAACUCAAAGGAAUUGACGGGGACCCGCACAACCAGUGGAGCGUGUGGUUCAAUUCGAGACAAAGCGAAGCACCUAACCAGGGCUUGACAUGCUACCGUUUUAAUCCUUUGGAAACAAAGGACUAUCCGCAAGGAUGGUAACACAGCUGCUGCAUGGCUGUCGUCA
rnacentral:rRNA from 1 species